GACGAACGCUGGCGGCGCGCCUAACACAUGCAAGUCGAACGGAGCUGAGAGAAGCUUGCUUUUCUUAGCUUAGUGGCGAACGGGUGAGUAACGCGUGAGUAACCUGCCCUGGAGUGGGGGACAACAGUUGGAAACGACUGCUAAUACCGCAUAAGCCCACGAUCCGGCAUCGGAUUGAGGGAAAAGGAUUUAUUCGCUUCAGGAUGGACUCGCGUCCAAUUAGCUAGUUGGUGAGGUAACGGCCCACCAAGGCGACGAUUGGUAUCCGGACUGAGAGGUUGAACGGCCACAUUGGGACUGAGACACGGCCCAGACUCCUACGGGAGGCAGCAGUGGGGGAUAUUGUACAAUGGGGGAAACCCUGAUGCAGCGACGCCGCGUGGAGGAAGAAGGUUUUCGGAUUGUAAACUCCUGUCGUUAGGGACGAUAAUGACGGUACCUAACAAGAAAGCACCGGCUAACUACGUG
rnacentral:rRNA from 1 species